GGCCGCGUGGCUUGCGGCUUAUUUUCCCAGCUGGCAAGCGUCGCGCUGCAGACAAGGGAAUGCCUGUGGUCCUGCGUGUUCCGGAGCUCAGGGAUCCCCUGAUCCCGCCAAGCCCCCUCCAGGAGCGGAAGGGUUAAGAAUGAUACACAGGAGGAAAGAGUACAAGUGGCAAGAAAC